UACGUAGGGUGCAAGCGUUGUCCGGAAUUAUUGGGCGUAAAGAGCUCGUAGGCGGUCUGUCGCGUCUGCUGUGAAAACUCGGGGCUUAACCCCGGGCCUGCAGUGGGUACGGGCAGACUAGAGUGCGGUAGGGGAGACUGGAAUUCCUGGUGUAGCGGUGAAAUGCGCAGAUAUCAGGAAGAACACCCGUGGCGAAAGCGGCUCUCUGGGACGGUACUGACGCUGAGGAGCGAAAGCGUGGGGAGCGAACAGG
rnacentral:rRNA from 1 species